AUUGAACGCUGGCGGCAGGCUUAACACAUGCAAGUCGAGCGGUAGCACUGGGGAGCUUGCUCCCUGGGUGACGAGCGGCGGACGGGUGAGUAAUGUCUGGGAAACUGCCUGAUGGAGGGGGAUAACUACUGGAAACGGUAGCUAAUACCGCAUAACGUCGCAAGACCAAAGAGGGGGACCUUCGGGCCUCUUGCCAUCAGAUGUGCCCAGAUGGGAUUAGCUAGUAGGUGGGGUAAUGGCUCACCUAGGCGACGAUCCCUAGCUGGUCUGAGAGGAUGACCAGCCACACUGGAACUGAGACACGGUCCAGACUCCUACGGGAGGCAGCAGUGGGGAAUAUUGCACAAAGGGCGCAAGCCUGAUGCAGCCAUGCCGCGUGUGUGAAGAAGGCCUUCGGGUUGUAAAGCACUUUCAGCGAGGAGGAAGGUGGUGAGCUUAAUACGUUCAUCAAUUGACGUUACUCGCAGAAGAAGCACCGGCUAACUCCGUG
rnacentral:rRNA from 1 species